rnacentral:rRNA from 11 species
UGGUACUGCUCUAUUAAUUACAUUAGAGGUAUAUUAUCUCAUCUGAUUUUGGAAGCUAAGCAAGGUUAACCCUGGUUAGUACUUGGAUGGAAGACAGUCAAGGGACACCAGGUGCUGUAAGAU